CGUGCGCCUCGCCGUGUCGGAUGUCGACGCGCCUCGCUGCAGAGCCCGGCCCGUUGCCGCGCGCCUCACCGUAGAGCCCGCCCGCAACCGCCGAGCUCCCCUCGCUUGCGAGCAGGGCGCCGGUGAAGAGCAGCUCCGCACGUACAGCCCGCUGUGCUCGACGGGUCUCGAUUUUGGCGACUUCAGACAGCGAGAAAAGGGCACGGCGGAUGGAGUUUUGCUUGAUUCUAGGUUGUCGAGAUCAAGGCCAGCCUGCGUCCCCGAGAUCCAGGUUGCUGCUCAGGACUACCGGGUGAAGAAGGGUGGUGCUUUCACUGGUGAAGUCAGACAGGGAUGAUCCACCAGGGGAGGAGUAGAAGAAGGCCAUGCAAAAAAGCUCAUGGACAUGUCCCCAGCGAACUGUUUUCUUCGAUUUCAUGUUUAAAACUUCUAUGCUACUCAAGUUUAAUUGAUGUUAUCUGGCUUGGUGCAAUUUAGAUAAUUGACAUGUAUUAAUUAUUGUUGCAAGAUGUUUCUUUUUGUAAGAUUUGUUGCAUGACUUUCUACCUUUUUAAUUAAUUCUACCUGGAGAUGUAAAGAUUGGUUGAAUAUGUUGUGUAUUUCGAAUUAUAAGUACUUCUUGAUAUUUCUGUAUUAAUUUGUAUGCCUGAAAUUUCAAUUUCAUGUGAAAACGUACUCUUUUGGCCUUAUUUUCGAAUUUCCAAUGUUCCAUUCCAUUCCCGUC